UACGGAGGAUUCGAGCGUUAUCCGGAUUUAUUGGGUUUGAAGAGUGCGUAGGCGGACUGGCGAGUCGGCUGUGAAAGUUUACGGCUCAACCGUGAACUUGCAGUUGAUACUGUUGGACUUGAGUAUACAUAAGGUGGACGGAAUUUGUGGUGUAGCGGUGAAAUGCUUAGAUAUCACAAAGAACACCGAUUGCGAAGGCAGCUCUCUGGGGUAUAACUGACGCUGAGGCGCGAAGGUGUGGGGAGCAAACAGG
rnacentral:rRNA from 1 species